GACGAACGCUGGCGGCGUGCUUAACACAUGCAAGUCGAACGAGGCCCCGCCUUCGGGUGGGUGUUCUAGUGGCGAACGGGUGAGUAACACGUGGGCAACCUGCCCCCGGCUCUGGGAUAACUCCAAGAAAUUGGGGCUAAUACCGGAUAUGACCGCUGACCGCAUGGUCUGGGGGGGGCAAGAUUUAUCGGCUGGGGAUGGGCCCGCGGCCUAUCAGCUUGUUGGUGGGGUAGUGGCCUACCAAGGCGACGACGGGUAGCCGGCCUGAGAGGGUGACCGGCCACACUGGGACUGAGACACGGCCCAGACUCCUACGGGAGGCAGCAGUGGGGAAUAUUGCGCAAUGGGCGGAAGCCUGACGCAGCGACGCCGCGUGGGGGAUGACGGCCUUCGGGUUGUAAACCUCUUUCAGCAGGGACGAAGCGCAAGUGACGGUACCUGCAGAAGAAGCACCGGCCAGCUACGUGCCAGCAGCCGCGGUAA
rnacentral:rRNA from 1 species